GACAGAGGGGGCAAGCGUUGUUCGGAAUUACUGGGCGUAAAGGGCUCGUAGGCGGCCAACUAAGUCAGACGUGAAAUCCCUCGGCUUAACCGGGGAACUGCGUCUGAUACUGGAUGGCUAGAGGUUGGGAGAGGGAUGCGGAAUUCCAGGUGUAGCGGUGAAAUGCGUAGAUAUCGGGAGGAACACCAGUGGCGAAGGCGACUUCCUGGCCUGUUCUUGACGCUGAGGCGCGAAAGCUAGGGGAGCAAACGGG
rnacentral:rRNA from 1 species